rnacentral:lncRNA from 1 species
UUUGUUUGAGGUCAUCGAAUUCUCUCUUCUUGAUUUUCAUAAUACUCUUAGGAAUAUGUGCACCACGGAAACCUUCCUUGAAAUCAUCCCAGGUUAUGUCAUUUUCGUUGGGAUGCAUGUGCAGAAAAUUCUCCCACCACGAUGCGGCUGCUCCUGUGAGAUAGUGUGGAGCAUAUAGUACUUUCUCGAGAUCUGAACACUUUGCAAUAAUUAAUUUUCUCUCCAUAUCUCGAAGCCAGUCCUCGGCUUCAAGAGGCUUGUUAGUAUGAGAAAAUGUUUGAGGACGUGUCUUCUGUAGCUCAGAUAACUUGGAAUGCUGUUGAUACUGUCCAUGGUGAUUUCCCAUGUUGAUGACUUGGUUCAUCAUCUCACGAUGUUGUUGCUGACUCUGCUCAUAAAGGCGGCACAUUUGUGAAAGUGCCGAUUCACUGCCCUGUUGGCUUGACUGUUCCUGAGUGAACUCGUUGUUGGGUUGUGCAUCAUAAAUUUCCUCUGGUGGAAUUGGCAUGGAGCGUGUCCAAGGACGAGACAUUUUUCACUCUGGGGAUGUAUUUUUGUAAAACUCAUAAGAAAAGCGGAAAGAGUCGCAAAACAAAACCAUAAAUGCAUAAAGCUGGCAGAUAGAAUUAAAUAACUCGGCUUACUUAAGAAAAACAAAUCGACUUGCGCACGGAGAAGGACUGCUCAUUACAUAUCUUACACGCGGGCGGUAAUUAUACAAUACACCACUCAGGAUAUGCGUACAUAAUCCUGACAUGUUAUUUAGGCUAGUGCACUUCUCCAGAUCCUACAUGAUGCGCAAACAGGCUACUUCUCACAACCUAUGUACAUAUCUUACAAAGCGGUGCAAUACACGGCAGCUAAGCGUACUCAGGCAGAGAUGUUGACGACCACCUUUGCCCUGCCGAGGGCGAGGCGUAGCGAGGUUGGGGACUCGACUUCCUCCUCGCUAAAGGGCUCCAUACGCGUGGUGUUGCGCAGAGUGGACGGAGCGGUUGCCAGGGGCGGAGCAACACGUACAGGAGUGGGCGCGAAGGGUGGUGCAGUGCACGCUGAAGUGGGUGCAAUGACUUGGUUGAAUUCUUCGGUAGAAGGCAGGCGACGAGUAGGCGUAAAAGAUGCUGAGGACGAGACCAAAGUCAGUGGCGGUGCGAUGGGUAGGAGCUCCCUCCUGUUGGCAGCACAGCCAUGGACUGAGUCCAUGCGGGUAGCUACGAAGUCGUCCACCAGGUUGUCGAAGGCUGCCUCCAGGGCCCGGAGAUACUCAAUGAGCAUCUCAAAAGCCUCGUCUCGUUCUCCUCUGGGGCAGGAGUAUGCGUAGUGACAGGUGUAAGGCACAUGGCACGGAAGAUAACGGUAACGACGAGUCUUCAUCACGAGAAGGACAUCCCUGAGACGAGCUAUCGCCUCGCGGGCUGCCAUCUGCAUAGCAUGCCUCUCCGUAGGCAUUGCUCUUCCCACGAACCGGAAGUGGCGUAACUCACCACGCCCUCCCUUGAACUGUACCGCGGCCUGGUGCAUGGUCAGACUGUCGUUGACUCGGUGCUGGCAGAGUGUGAAGACUGGGCGCACGGAUGGCCCCAUCGCGACCUGAACGAUGAAAGAAAGAAGCUUGACGAACCCAUCGGGCACGUUGGCGAAGGUCUGAGACUCGCAGCUGUUGUCGGCCAUCUACAAAAGUAGGUAAAAAUUCUGCAGGGUCAGAUCAUAAAUUUAUGCUGACUGACAGAAAAUGACUACAAUUGCAAAAAUAUAAAUUAGCUCUAUCAUGCUAAUAACUAAAUAGCGAUCGCACCUAGUGGCUUCCUACAGUCAGCCUGGCUCUGGUACCAAGCUUGUCACGACCGGUUUUCCAAUAAAAAUAUUUAUUGAGAAACCAAUCUAUUGAGUCCAGUAUGAGAGAAAUCCUCCUCACUGGUAGACAAUUUCUUGAUACAAUAAGCCAGUAGCAUAAAAUAUAUUACAGGGUUGAACUACGGUUGCUCAACCAAAUUAUUACAAGCACGCCAAUAAUUAUACAUAAUGGCGGACAUGACACAGUGGUGUGGAGACAUACUACUGACUCGAGGAUAGGGCGGUGGUGGAAAAACACAGCAGGGAGAGAAACACAAGACUCUAAGUCUAUCAUCUCAUCGAGCGUCGAGGUGAGGCUCGAUGAAUUUAUUUGGUAGCGGAAGCGGAUAUAAAAUAGUGACCAAAUCCAGGGUCGCACGAGACUGACUGGGACUCCUCUAAGUGUCGGACUCGCUAUCAAACUCUUCAUCCAUGAGAUCGCCUUCGUCAGCAUCUGGCCAAAUCAACAAGCCAGUGAGUACUUUGAAAGUACUCGCAAGACAGUUCGGACGUAAGAUAUAACAAAUGCAUGCAUGGAUGCGUCACGAAUAAAUUCAUCAAUGUACAUUCAAAAAUUAGCAUGACAAGGUAAGUAAAAGGGGAACGGCGGUAGUCCGCCUGAAAUCCCAACAGAACAUAAAUAACUACCGAUCGGGUGUCUGAAGCGACGCCUCGAAAGGUGAACAAUUAAUUAUAAGGAAAUGAUGCCACAGUCGGGCGUCUUAGCGACACCACAUAAAGGGCUUAAAAAGAAAUACCACAGACGGAUGUCGGGGCGACAUCACAGAAAGGGCUUUAAAAGAAAUGCCACAGUCAGACGUCGGGGCGACAUCACAGAAAGGGCUUUAAAAGAAAUGCCACAUUCGGACGUCGGGGNNNNNNNNNNNNNNNNNNNNNNNNNNNNNNNNNNNNNNNNNNNNNNNNNNNNNNNNNNNNNNNNNNNNNNNNNNNNNNNNNNNNNNNNNNNNNNNNNCGUCGGGGCGACAUCACAGAAAGGGCUUGAAAAGAAAUGCCACAGUCGGACGUCGGGGCGACAUCACAGAAGGGGCUUGAAAAGAAAUGCCACAGUCGGACGUUGGGGCGACAUCACAGAAAGGGCUUUUAUGGACAGGUAAAUAAUAAUCAUAAUAAACUUUUAAUUCAUAAGAAUAAAUGGGUUAGUCCAUCCACAGGAAUAUCAUUUAACCGGAGUUAGCAUUCGAGCAAAUCACCGGAGUCUCUGUCAUCAAAACUGACAUUUGAUUAGGAUAAGAUAAUAUCGAUCUAGGACAUGGAAUAGAUGAUUUGGAGGAAUAUAAGACUCUGCAGAGUUUGUACAAAAUUAUUCCCACAGCCAAUGGAUUUCCGUAGUCACGAAGUACUAGUUCCGUUUACGGUAUUUCGGAAGAAAACACAGCUAACCAGUACACACCCAUCCUACCUCUCGAUGCUAGGAAUCACCCUAGACAUCGUCCAAGAAAAACUUUUGAGACGGGGAGAUCACAAUCUCGAAUAGCAUGGGAUCAAAUUUAUAUACGCGCGCUCUAAGGGGUGCCCCCCUCUCGGUCCCAACCGGAAACACCCAUGCCCCCUGACCGGAUGACUGGCUUUAAUCCAGGGCCAUGGAACCAUCAUCCCGGCCUCUCCUUUUGGUGUGUACCAGGAAAGCGGUUUACAACUUACUAAACCAUAUUCCUUGCGGAAAACAUGUGGUAGUACAGGGAAGGCGGAAUGAAAGGAACUGGAAUGAUACGAGCUGACAUUGAAGUCACGUAGUCUGGCAUAAGUCUGGCAUGCUACAACACUGCCAUCUUACCCAUCCUUAUGCCAACACAUGGCCAUUCAUACUCACAUCCAUCCACUUAUGGAUCAUUGAACUCACUUACCUCAUUAUCGCAUAAAAUGACAUUCAUCGAUAUGCUUCUCAACAUGCCAUGAAACUAACUAAAUGCAAAACAUGCCAAGACACUCAUCAUAUCAAAAGUUCAAACAUGCUUGCCUGGUUCAGAGUAGUCGGAGCCUAGCUCGGUGAAGUUUGCGGCUCCGUCACCUCCUUCGGUAUCUACGGUAUAAAGAAAGUAUAUGCGCUAUCGUAAAUACCAAGAGGUGCACAAAAAGUAUACCAAAUAUUUUUCAAAUAAAUCUGAUAAAAAACUAGACAAAAUUCUAAAGAGAACAGAAAAAGAAUCAACCAAAAAUACCUUUCUGUUUAAAAGUUAUAAAGGUUUUUGUCCAGGGACUCAUCUGUAAUGAAAUAGAAGUUUUCUAGGGGCUAGUUUAUAAAAACAGAAAGCACUUCGGUAGCGACUACGCCAGCCCAGAGGGAAAGCGCAUUCGGCAGAAGACGUUUUCAGAAAACGCUUCGCUCCAACAGGAUAGAGAGGCUGACAGGCGGGUCCCACCCGUCAGGUUUAAAUAUUCAAACGGGGCGGCAGAGUUCGCCGGUGCCCGAGAGCCGCGGUGGUCGCCGGCGGUGAUCCACGGCGAGGCAGAGAGAUCGGAGGGUACCUCCGUGUUCAGGGCACCCUUCCGCGUCGGUUGGUGGUGGUGGUGGCGGUCGGCGAGCACCACGUCGACGGCGAGCUUUGCUCCGGCGGACGGCGGUUCGGGUGGUUGCGGACUUCGUUGGAGAGAGCUGUAGUGAUCAAAUUGAGGAGGGGGUUAGGCUUCUGGUAGCUAGAGGGAGUAACUGACGGGGUUUGGGCGCCGGAGAUGGCCUCACCGGAGCGAAUCGUGGUGGAGGCCGAGGUGGAUCGGGGCGGCCGGAGCUUGGGGAGGAGACCUCCUCGAGGUCCCCCUAGUGGCCUGGCGGGGCGUUGGUGAGGUGUGGGGAUGAGGCGUGCACGAGGGCGAGCUCGAGGGCCCUUUUUAUAGGCGGUCCGAGGCGGUGGCCGUGAACGGGGAUUUCCGGCGAUGGUUACGGUGGCGCAGUGCUCGGUCGAGGGUGAUUAGGGAGUCGAGCGCCGUCGUGGGAGUUUACUCGGUCCGUUUAGACGCUAACCGAACUUGGAUUAGAAGCUUAGGGCAGGCUUUGGUCGGAACGGGACGGCGCGGGUCCGUUGGCGGCAGAGAGCGCGUCCCGUGCUGUCGGGCCACGGCGACGGUGCAGCGGGGGUGCGCUGGCGUGCAUGAGGCCACGCGGAGAGCCAGGGAGCGAUGGGCAGCGCGGAACGGCGUUGAGCCGCCGUUCUUGUCCCCUGUCAGCCGCCACGGGAGGUCCCGACGCCGCAGAAGACUCCGGCGAGGGCGGGCCAGCGUGCCACCGACGCCAGGAAGAGGCCAAGUGAGUGUGUGGUGCUCCAGACAGUAGGAAGAGGCGGAGAGGAACCUGCCAAAUGCACUGUGAACGCGUGAGUGAAGCUGACGAACGAAAAAUGACACUGAAGACUGAAUUUUUCUGAAUUUUGAACAGUAACAGUGCCCGCAAGGUGUUCGACAGAAUGCUUUUGGCCUCUGCAGAUUUUUCCUUGAGCUGAAACUUGGUGGAGUGGCUUCUCAUUGCUCACAUAGGUUGCCUGAAUUUUGGUGGAAUUUUUGGAGUAGUGUAGAUAUGAAAUUCAUCAAAUUUGGCAAAUCUGGUCCAAACUUGCAGAGACUGAAUUUUGAAAAUUUUGAAAAGAGGAGGAGUGGAUCAAGAUGGUUCUGGGUUGUGGGUACAAAGGACUAUCCAGGAGAGUUGGUUUGAGGUCAAAACUCAAAUGCAAUAUGGUACUUGCUUUGAAAAUCAUUUGGGUUCAAAAUAAUUUUCAGAUUUGUUUUGAGAGGAAAAUAAUUAGAAUAAAAUCCAAAACUUGUUUGGAUUAGUUGGGACAGAGGACUUAGGUUGAUCACAAGGUGUAGGGGAGGUUUUGGAGGGGUUUUACCACAUGGGAACAAUGCAAAGUCAAGGGUGGUUCCAAGAUAUGAAAGUCCCCAAAUUUUCAUGGAGUUUCAUUUUAAAAGAAAACAAUUUAAACUCAAAAAUUAAAUUUGAGAGAGAACCAACAGAGAAGAAGUUUCAAAAGAUCAAACACCAAGGUUUGAAAAAAUAAAAUCCUUGCCAAAGCAAAGGAAGUUUUUAAGUGGAAGGUUUUUCUGAAAAGAAAAAUUUUAAAAUGGCCUCUCCUCAAAAACCACAAAGUUUUUGAUAAAAACCAAAUAAAAAAAUUUGGAGUGUCACAGGGCCUUGAUAAACGAAGGUGAAUACUACUGCUAGUGCUGCAAAUAUGAACAGGACAGGAUUGUGUGCUGCCACAUACUCAAAAUAAUGGAGAUGCACGCGGUCACGCAAUUGCCCCGGCACUUCAUACGAUGGCGAUGCACUUGGGACGUUGAUGAUGUGUUGGGGCCACAAACAUCAAAUGCAGUUUUGGCUCUACAUGAUGAUAGACCAGAGGCAACCAUGGACUCCGUGAGGCAUGCUGUAUUGACCAAGAACAAUGCUGAACUAAUAGAUGAAGCAUGCAAGAGCGAUGACACAACAAGGCUGGUAGAAAAGCACACAGCUUGAUGAGAUCAAGAAGAGGAAGGCUGAAUAAGCCUUACACAGGUUCUCUCACACUUCAAGUGUGCCUUCGUCCACAGGUCCGUCCUCUGAAAACUCAGAUGUAGGGUCUGGAACAGCAAGCACACAAACUCAGGUCAGGAACCCGCCCCGUUCCAUCACAAAAGGGCGUCCAAAAGAGGUGAGAUACAAAUCAGGGAUACCAAAGAAAGGAAUAGGAAAUUUGUAAGCAGUUGUGGAGGAUUAUAGCUUUGGUGUUGGUGAAAAUUUUGCAAUGUAGAUGAUUAAGCUUUAAAAAUGCGAGAAUGACUGUUGGUGGACAACAGAAAUUGACAAAAAUGGCAUGUAUGCAGAAUUGAAUAUGCCACGUAGUUGCUACUGUAAUAUGCCAUGCAGCUCCUACUGAAUCUGCCAUAUACUUGCUACUAAAUCUUCCAUCGCGUAUAUUUCUAUUUUUAGUCCACGCAUUCUUUUGGACAUAGUAAAAAAAUAGUUGCCACGCAUAUUGUAUUGUAUACAUACUAUGUAGGAACUAAUUGAAUUGGUUACGUUCGAAUCACGGGAGAGAACAACUGCCAUCAAAGUUGUGUUGAAAUUAACGUGCAAUAGGUGCCACAUAUGCAAACUUAUGAACUACCAUGCUAACUAAUACACUUAGCACUGCAAAAUCCCAAAAAGAAAUGAAAUGAUUACUUGCACUUAUCGUGCGUGAUCAACUAUAUUUGCCAUGUUUCAAGCAUCGCAGACGCCAAGUCGGGUAAAGUAAGGUUACCACGAGGAGAAAAUAGCAAAAAGUGUCAAACUAUAUAUUCCCCAGUAGAAAAAUAACUAGACAUACUGGGCCGUCCACAGUUUUACACAUUUUUGAAUGUAGUAAAAAGAUGACAAAUGGAAACACAAAAUUAUUUGAAAAAAAGAGUUUCAAACCAUCUGCCAAAUCCCCUCGUAAAGAAAAAAUGUAAGACAAAAAUCAAGCAUGUGAUAGGAGAAUUUCAAAACCACAUUUCAGACAAGCACACAAACUAGCAUUCAAACUGCCAAUUCAUACUCACAUUCACAAACACAUAAUAAUAGUGAACAUAGAAGUUGUUCUUGUCACACCUAAACAGGUUCAGGUCCACACUUAUAUUACAAAGCUUAGACAGCACAUACACACCACCACUAUAUACCACAGCUACAUGGAAUGAAGUCAGCACACGGACAUAGUUUCGAAGAACGAGGUGAUACCUUACAUUCCUCAGCCAAAAAAUUUAAGGUAGGCAUGUGUAUGGAGCAUCACGUGAUCACUUGUACUUCUUGUUCGUGGCUUUAACAGCUCCCUCUAUGAAUUAUCGAGCUGAAGCCCGCUUGUUGGAAUCUUCAUUCAUCAACCAGUUCCAUGUAUAUAUUUUACGGAGCUCGACGACCAUUGCAGGUGUGAUCACAGGGACCCCCGUCGACCUUCCCACUUUUCAAGGUAUUCCAACAUGUAAAACCCGCAGUCAUGCCUAGAAUGAAACAAACAGGUGAACACAUGCCAACUGAAACAUGAUAAAACUUUGAUGAAGAAAUGAAAAGGGUAAAAAUUGAGGUAGAAAACACAUGAAAAGAUAGUAAUUACCUAUUUUCUUGCUUCUCAGUCGUAAUGUACUCGAUUGGAAAAUGACUAAUCUGGACCUUUGAGUUUUUUUAAUGACGGUUCCAGGUCUCUUUGGGGUUGUUGAUAAAGAAUUCAGCAUGAGCAGUAAGUUCUUCGUCAUCUCCUGAACGGACUGAAUCAAGCACCUCAAAACGUUGGUUCUUCAAGUCAAGGCAAAUGGCAUAGUGGUGACCACACUUGUCAUUUGGGUCAUCUGGUGCAAGCAGCUGGAACAUGGGGAACAUGAUCUGCAAAUAAAAAAGAGAAAAGAAAAAAAGAGUUGACAUCAAAAUAGAUUGAUGUAGUUGCAAAAAUGUUAUGUAGUAAUAUUGCCAUUUGCAAUAAUGGACACAUGUAAGCAAGAAUCAAAAUGGCAAAGUGGACACAUGGAAAAAGGGUUCAGUUGCCAUGUGUAAUUGUCAAGAGUUGCCAUCCAUGUUUAAACAAAGUUGCCCAAUAUUUGAAGUGAAGUUGCCACAUGAGUUCCAUUAAAGUUGUCACUUCCUUACCAUGGCAGUUGUUGCCACAUGAAACAGCUGCCACGAAAAGAAUGUAGCCCGCAUAUCGAAAAUAACUAUGGACAAACAUAGCAUGACAAAAAAUAAAACAUCUACAAUGAGAAGAAACACUCACAUAUUGUUUCAGUGGGAGCUUGAAAUCACCAUGCCCGGCAAAAAAAUUCCUCAGGAUCUGAUGGUGGAAGUCACCAUCCCAUAUUUUGCAGGUCACGAUGUACUGCAUGAUCAUCUUGUCGGGACAAAUGUCCACAUGCAUGUUGAUGAAGUCAAUCCCACACGCAACUACAUUCUUUGACAAUUUACCAGUAGGCUUCACAGACUCGACAAGAUCACCCAGGUCAACGUAUGUCGCAUCACAUUGAAUGAUUUUGGUUCUGUCCAAACAUGAGCUGUAUGAAAAUGAUGUAACAUGAAAGAAGCAUGCCUACUAAAAAAAUAUAAAUAAAAAUAAACAACGCAUGGCUAAAAGGGCGAAAAAAAUCAGGAAAAAGUAGGUAAGGGGUUAUGUGGUGUGGACAUUACUUUUUCAGCUCCUUCAUGUGUUUGCAGCUCGACCUCGCAUUUCUGAAACGCUUGACAAUGUCGUAUAGUUGGGUAUGCUCCUUUGUAGCUUUAACAUAGGGCUCAAAGUCAUCAGAUGGUGGUGCAUGAACUACCCUCGUCUGCCUCACAGAGCCAGGGGUUGCACUUCUAACGGUAUCCUCGGAUACUUGCUCAGCAGGCACGUCAGAACUUGAUUGCCCCUAAUUCCAUGAUGACCUCCUGUUUAAUGCUCCUGCUCAGUCCUACAGUAAGCUUCAUCGAGGGACGGUGAAAUCUCCUCAGGGGUGGCUAAAAGAAGCAAACAGGGGAAUAAGAAAGUUGGAGAUAGCAAUUUAUUGUGCAAAAAGUUCAAACUGUGGACUGUAAAUGCUGAUAGGAAAGUAACAAUUUGAAAUAUCACUUCGUAAACGAAGUUUGCCAUGUGAAAAGUGCACUACAUUUGCCAUGUGCAAUGCACUAUAGUUACCAUGUGACAAAAACUAUAGUUGUCAUAUGUGAUGCACUUCAGUUGCCAUGUGCAAUGCAUUCCAGUUGCUAUGUGACAGCAACUGCAUUUGCCAUGUGAAACAAACUACAGUCUCCAUGUGGUCAAAAAGUGGUUUAUCCCUGCCAAAUAUAAACAAUGGUUGUCAUCUCAGGAUAAAAAUCAGUUGCCAUGUUAUAUGAACAACAACUACCAAAUUAGGUAAGCUGCAAAUGCCAUCUACAUGUACAUCCCGUAAGAUUUGCCAUCGCAAUUCAAAAACUAAAGCUUACGACGAAGGUCAGACAAAAUAUGUAGAAAUGAAAGAUAAACACAAAAAAGUUUACCUUGCACUAUAGGCUCUGCAAACUUCACAGCCUUCCUGCCAUCAGCUAGGGGUUGCGCCAUCAUCGGGACCAUGCCUGCCGAGAAAGUAAAGGCAAUAGGCAUAGGAUCAUGCACUAGUUCAUCCUGAGUGUAAUCGAUACCAACUCUGCAGUUUGGUGGGGUGAAAACCAUGGGGUGCCUCUCCUGCUGAUCAGCCAGUUUGCAAACAAAAUGUUUAGCAGAAUCUAGAGGUGAUAGAUCAACAAACAUGUCAGUCUCCUCUGCUGCAGAAUCAUCACGCUUAUUAGUAGGACGGCGCGUGCUGUCCGCGAUCUCAAUCACGGUCUUAUUUCCUAUCUUCUUGUUUGGACUGUACGGGACACCAAUGUUGACAGGGAGCUUAGAAGUGCGCAGAUUUAAACUAGUGUUCUCCACAGCAGUAAAGGACGCCGUCUGCUCUGAACGUCCACCUCCUUCAGUGGUACACUGCUUACCACCUAUAUCUGUUGUAUUGCAGACUUCCAUCUUCUCGAUUGCAUUGCUUUUGGCAGCAUGUGGGAAUAGUGUGGAAGCAGACACAUAACCAAAGUCACCUCUGCUGCUCUUAACUACCUCUGGUGCGUUGGAUAACUGUGCAGGAUUCUUGCGGUGGCUAUGCCUAGGAGGCAGGCCAGCUCGCACCACGGUUGUAGUAGCAGCCUGUGCGCCAACAGCCCGCUGAAGCUGUUGUGCGGUGAGACUCGUGUGUGGAUGUCCUGCCAUAUUGAAAUAUGGCCGCCGCCCCUUCUUUCAUGGACACAUAAGUGCCACCGGCCGCACUCUUGGAAUCCGUAUCAGAUGAGCGGGAAUCUUCCUUGUUUAGGUUGAGCUCACAAGCAUCCACUUCAACACUUGCUGAUCGGGUUGCAUGGGUCACAACAGCAUCUCUCAUUGCCACCAGGGUAGGAAAUAUCUUAGCAGUCCUGGCAGAUACUGACUCGUCGCUCCCAGAUGUACGGAUGCAUGUGGUUGUAGUCUGCACAUCUGCAACCGGCGGAGAUGGGAGGCCGCUUGCAUCAAAACUAGCGGCAACAGUGGACAGUGCGACGGCAGAUUUCUCAAUUGUCAGCUCAUGAAUAUCUGCAUUAUCAGAUGUCGACAACUUGGAGUGAAUGCUCUCAAGUGGGUCUUUAGUAGUGCAAUUUGUCGAGCGUGCAGUAGUCUUCUUUACCCUACAAAAAUGUGUCGAACGAUAAGACAACCAUUAAAGAAAGCACUUCAUGAGAAAAAAUGUGAGGGCAUGAAUAAAAUAAUUGCCAUGUCAGACAUCAUAAAAUGCCAUGUGUGAUAUGCUAGAGUUGCCAUUUCAAAAUAGAGUAGGGAUUAAAAAUAUGUUGUAUAAGUGGGUGCCAGUUGCCAUGUGUAAGUGAGUGAAAGCUACCAGUUGCCAUGGCAGGGAAACUGGAGUUACCAUUUGGUUUAGUAAGCAGUUGGCAGGGAAACAAGAGUUGCCGUAUAAGUGAGUGAAAGCUACCAGUUGCCAUGGGAGGGAAACGAGAGUUUCCAUGUGGUCUAGUAAGCAGUUUCCAUGCCGAGGAAGCAAGGGUUGUCGUGUAUCAAGUUUAUCAGUUGCCAUGUGGGACACAUAAGAGUUGCCAUGUCGCAACUGUAGCAGUUGCCACGAGGGGCAGACAAUUUUUUCCAUGUUGGGUAUAGUAAAAGUUGCAUAUGAUUGAGGAAUGCAUCAAACAAAUUUAGUGUUAGGACUGUGAAUAACUUGUCAUACUCAACAUGCUGCAAUUGCCAUGAAAAAUUUCAAAAGGGAAUGCAUUUCCGUAUCACGACACAACGAAAAUAUCUCAAUCACAAAAAAAUAGAAAAACUAAAGGGAGAACUCACCUCUUGCUUGUUUUCCUCAAGUCUUCCAGCACAACAGGAUCCCCGGUUUUGGACGUCGAUGUGCGAGGAGACGACCUAGUGGAAGUGGUGGCACCAGCAGUGGGUGCCCCCUUGUUCAGACGGGUAGAAACGCGGGUUGGCGUGCGUGCUUUCUUCUACUUAACUAAUUGUCCACCAGUUGUCGCCUCACUACACAUAAAAAAAUGGGGGAAAGGAGCAAAAAAAACCAAGUGUGAGACACAAAAUCAUGGCGUGCGUAGCAAAGGAAAAAAGUCGGGUUGUUAAAAAGGAAGAACGAAAAAAACAAUAAAGAACAUCCACUACUAGGGAAAACCUUAUACACAGCAUCUUAGCAGUAGCACUGGACAAAAUCAUCUGCUACUGCUACUUAGUAGUAGCGCAUGUAAAUAAACCGCACUACUGUUAUCAUUUUAGCAGUAGCGCGUACUAGCAAAAGCGCUGCUGCUAUGUUUGAACUGGGCGCACAUGGCUACCCCCACUUAGCAGUAGCGCGUAUCCUCGCCCAGUGCUACUGUUAUGCUCCUUAGUUGUAGCGCUUUUCUCGAACCCGCGCUACUACUAACCAUACCUUAUCCUCCCCACGCGGCCGACCCUAUCAUUCCCUCUCCCUCUCAGUCACUCUCGCCCACGCAGAUACCCAUCGUCCGUCAUUGCCGUCGUCGUCCGUCCACCACCGAGGUACUCCCUCAUUCCCUCCCUCCUCCUCCCACUACGCCCUCCUCCUUCCUCCUCCCACCGCGCCCUCCUCCCUCCACCUCCGGUCGCCCCUCCUCCCUCCUCCUCCGGCCGCCCCCUCCUCCCACCUCCUCCGGCCGCNNNNNNNNNNNNNNNNNNNNNNNNNNNNNNNNNNNNNNNNNNNNNNNNNNNNNNNNNNNNNNNNNNNNNNNNNNNNNNNNNNNNNNNNNNNNNNNNNNNNNNNNNNNNNNNNNNNNNNNNNNNNNNNNNNNNNNNNNNNNNNNNNNNNNNNNNNNNNNNNNNNNNNNNNNNNNNNNNNNNNNNNNNNNNNNNNNNNNNNNNNNNNNNNNNNNNNNNNNNNNNNNNNNNNNNNNNNNNNNNNNNNNNNNNNNNNNNNNNNNNNNNNNNNNNNNNNNNNNNNNNNNNNNNNNNNNNNNAGAAAUUUAGGGUAGAACUAGGGUAGUAGAAUUUUUAGCAAGUGUUUAACAGAAAUAGUUUAUUUAGUAAGUGAUUAAUAUAACUAGUUUAUUUAUAUUAAGUGCUUAAUAAAACUAGUUUAUUUAGUAAGUGCUUAAUAGAACUAGUUAAUUUAUAGUAAGUGCUUAAUAGAACUAGUUUAUUUAGUAAGUACUUAAUAAAACUAGUUUAUUUAGUAAGUGCUUAAUAAAACUAGUUUAGAGAGAGACCUAUAUUGGCAAAUUUAGUUAUGUUAGGAUUAUAUAUAAGAUAUUUUGAAAUGUUUUUGUUCAUAUUUUCAACCAUUGAAAUGCAAUGACCAUCGAUAAGUGGCCUAUGUUUUGCCGGAGUGUUGAUUAAUUUCCGUUCCGGCAAAUUACAGGCACUCGAUAUGUCCUUUUUUAGCAAAGGUCAUGCCGGAUUUUUUGGGUUUUGCCGUCGAAUUAUAAUCUUUGAAUUUUGAACAUAGGAGAUGUCUGAUGACGAUGGGAUCCUGGAGUGCGGGUACUGCUACGAUGACCGGGGUUUGUGCGACAGGUUUCCUCACCUGCAAAAUGAUAGGUUUUUCACCGUGAAGCUGGAAGAGACCUUUGAUGUUUGUACGGUAUGCAACGACAAGCAUUUCAUCGUAAUUAAUACCAUCACUUGUGCUUCUUUUGUUCAACGUGUAAUUUAUGGAUUUUUUUUUCAAUUCAAUUAGUACAUCUCAUGCCAUGAUAGACCAUAUGUAUUGGAGAAGCUUGGUUUUGGUUUAGAUGACUUUGAGAAUGUGGAGACGAGGAGGGCUCACUUAAGAACUAAACAUGGUUAUGAGUUUCUGGUUAAGCUGUACAAUGCGGUCGAUCGCUCCCAUUUCGGUUGCUCUAAUUGGGAAGCUAUCUGCAAAGCAUAUGGAUUUGAGGAGGGAAUACAAAUAAGAUUUGAUAUUCGUCCUGAAGAUUAUGAUGAUGAUGAUAAUAUCGACAUCUGGGUGGAUGUGGAUAUGCCUCCAGUUUUGCCUAGAUGUUAGUUUGUCAAAGUUAAGUUCAGUAAUUUAUGUUGUUAAUUUAAAAAUAUUUGGUGUUCGUCGGUACUAAACUUAUUUAUUUAUAGUUUUCAGCUUAUUUCUUAUCUUCAAGAAAUACUUGGAAGGUAGUUGACAUCACAUACUACAGCUAUGACUCCAAGCUUAAUUGUGUGGAGAAGGGUUAUCUUGUCUCAUUCAUAGAAGAUGUUGAGGCCUUCAAAACCAGUCACUCUGUCAGCCCAAAUUAUACUAGAUACAUGCCACUAGUCCAUAAAGUGCUUGAUGGUAACUUCAUUGCCAAAAACUUGGUAAGAUUUUGUUAAUGAUGGUAACUUCAUUGCAUACAUUAUUCUUAUGUAAACUACAUUGCUAACUAUAUAUGUUACUAUUACGUUUUCGAACAGAGGCUCCCGAAGUAGGUUGUGCCGGACAUGCUAUUUAUCGAAGGUGAUAUGCAUAUGGUUAGCUUACGACCAACUCCUUCGAAGGCUUACCAUACUGCAUACUCGAUUUCUUCAAAUGAUAGAAGUCUCAAAAUCAAAGAAUGGAGCAAAAUGAUGAAUGCGCACACGCAAAUAAUUGGAGACAAAAUGAAUGUGCGCAAGCCACAAGUUGGAGAUAGGUUUAUGUCCAUUCUCCAUUAUGGAGAAGGACCGGUUUAUUUGUUUUAUGGUAUUUUACCUAGGAGAGAGGAGUAGGUCCUAAGUAUUAAGAAUAAUUAGUUAGUGUUGAUUAUAUAUGACUAUGAUGAUGAUGAGAAGCUUUUAUUAUGUGCUACAAUGUCUUAGACUUGAUGGUGAUGUUGAGUAGGAGUAGUGAUUAUGAGUACUAUGAUGAUGAGGAGGAGGAGUUUUUAUUAUAACUAGUGACCAAGUUGUUAUAUGAUGUCUCAUGGACGAAAAUGAUGAGGAGGAGGAGGAGUUAUAUGACAAUGAUAUAUUAUGAUGAUAAGUUGUUAAUGAUAUUAUGAUGAUGAUGAUGAUGAUGAUGAUGAUAAGUUAUUAUGUCAUUGGGUGAAAGAACCGCGGAUUAGUUUCAAAUGGAUGGAUCCAAAGUGACCAUUGGCUACUUUGGAUCCAUGCACUUGAAACUAAUCCACGGUUCUUUCACCUAGUGAUUUAAUAACUCAUUAUAAUGUAAAAGCAAUCUCUAAAUUGCUACUGUAUGAAAAAUUGUAUAAAGGUGUAUGAAUACAACCUAAAAUUUAAAAGAAACAAAAUACGGAAUAAUGGUAGUAGCGCGGGCGGAGAGAAGCGCUACUAGUAAUUACCAGUAGCGGUUACUCGAGAAAGCGCUACUACUUUGUAGAUAUAGCAGUAGCGCGUGCCAGCAAGCGCUACUGCUAAGCUUUAGCUGUAGCACCGUAUCAGUAGCGCGCUUGCCCGUGCUACUGAUAGGCCAAAAACCAGCGCUACUACUAGGCUUUUCCCUAGUAGUGAUCGAACCUCCUCCUAGCAGCAACAUGAUCGGUCCUACUCCUCUUGCCAGCAGGUCCCUGGGCAGUAUCCUCUAGAGCCCUACCCCUCUUUGAGAGAGGAACCCCCGUGUCUCUCGCAACAGUUGGAGCAAUGCCUCCCUCUAGUGGAGGAACAUUCGGUGCAGCCUUAUCGUUGUUACCUCCUACGCGAACUUCCUGAUGUUUGUCAUGGUCAGUGUCAUUACGCACAUUCUCCAUGUCAUCGUCACCAUCCUUGUCAAGAUUAGCAUCCACGCCACCGAAACCAUCCCCGCCUAGCUCCUCUUGCGUUUUAGGGAGCUCUUGAGAGUUGUUGUAGUCGUACCGACCACGACAGCUAGUUGGUCGAUGUGUCCAUUCUCCGACAAAGUAUGUGAACUAUCUCGCAACCACGUCUCUAUCAGAACCAUUCAAUGUUGUCCAACCCUCGACCAACAUCCCAAGCAAGUUGGUCAUGCCAGAAGCAACCUGCCCGACCAGGUAAUGAACAGGUGCCCUGGCUGAUGAGAAAACAAAAUGUAGCAAGUUACAAACACAUUAGAAACAUGUGCAUAAGAAAAGAAGGCAAAAAGCUAUAAACAGAAGUCAAAUGCAAGAAUAUCAUUCAAAAAACAAAAAAAAACAUGCUUCAUUACCUCGGCGGAACAAGAUGGAGCUGAAUGCACGUCCAUCCACUUGCCGAAAUUUUGUGGCCCGCCAAACACACUGUAGUCUAUGGCAUGCUUGGCAAUCCGCUGAAAAAGAGGUAAAAAAGAAGCAGUGAAUAUGGGCGUGGAUUGAAAGGAAAAGGUAUUCGAGGGGCAACGGCAAAGUUGCCAUAUGGAGACAACCAUGGUUGCCAUGUGCAGACAACCAUGGUUGCCAAGUUCUUUAUGAAUUGUUAGCCAUAAUAAAAAUGGUGAGGUGGUCGAAUGGAAUGUGCAGACAAAGUUGAGUGCACAAAUUAGAAUAUGGAUGCCAAAUAAAGUAUUGUGCAUUUUCCACGCAGAACCGAACGUAUUUGCCAUGUUGUAUAUGCUAUAUAUUCCCCUCUUCAAAAAGAAAAACUAUGAACAACCAAUAUGGAUCAGUUGUGGUUUAUUCAUAUUAUUUCCAUCAGUGUUUUUCAAGAGUGUUGUGCAAGAAAGAAGUCAAACUAACCUAUAGUUUCCCAUAUUUUGUAUCACAAAUCUUGUCUGCGGCAAGCACAGCCUUGACAGCAUCAUAACUCCAGGCAGAAACAACAAACUUAUGUGGAGGCAGCGGACCUCCUAUCUCAGUGAAGUCAACAGUGGAUAAAUCAAGAUUAUCGACGUACAUGAGUUGGUUUACACAAUAAAGCGAGUAAGAAAAUCAGAAUAUGUCAGUGAUCGGUAUUGUGCAAAAAAAGAAAACAGAUAAAGAUGCGGCGAAAAAGGAAAGGAAAAUAACUACAUUUUAAACGUCGUUGGCAAUACAGUCUCCCUUGAGUCACAAGUUCAAAAGAAAGAAGAAAGAUUUGCCAUGGGCGUGAACGUAUGUUUUCCAUGAUUGACUAAUUAAAACAAAUGAAAAAAAGUAGAGGAAGUGAACACUAUGUGUGUUGUAGAAAAGGGCAAUUGCCAUGUAGACAGCAACUGCAGUUGCCAUGUAUCAGCAACUUCACUUUGACAUGUGAAAAACACAAAAAAUGAAAUUUGCCGUACACGAUCAACUAUGGUUGUCAUCGAGAAAGCAAAAAUCAGUUAAAGCUCUAUCAAACUAGGGUUGACAGAGUAUGGCCAAACAGAGAUGCCACGUGCAAAACAAUUAGGUUGCCACUUAUGAACAACUGUAAAAGUGAUUGAGGAAAGAAUGAACCAUGGUAAGAGCAUACCAUUAGUUGCAGGCGGCAGCCCUUCUGGUACAUCUUAUUUGAGAAUGCAUCAUGCAGGAAGUCGGCAAUGAAUUUACACCAAUUCAUGUUUUUAACAUCUUUCAGUUUCGCCUGCACAAAAGAAUUCAGGACAAAAGAUGCCACAUCGAUGGUCAAUAAAAACAUCAAACUGGCAGUGACUAGCUUCUACAUGACAUCAAAAACAGAAGAUUAUAGGAAAAAGAAUGUAGAGAGAGCAUUCACUAGGAUAGGGAAGCACUUGUUGCUUGGGCGCAGCGAUGUGGUAGGCUCAAAGAAUACGAGAUCAAGUACAUCAGCAACUUCAUCUUAAAUACCUUAUCAUGGGUUGUCAUGCCCUCCAACGAAGUUGCCAGCACAGUCGUAUUAGGCAUGGAUGCAGAGCGGCCCUGUGGGGGGCAGGAGGAGGCCGCCCCGGGCUCCCAAAAUCAAGGGGGGCCCAAGAUGUAUGUACGUACCCUAUAGGCCUAUGGCCCAUACAGGCACGCGCGCGCCAGGGAGCAGCAGGCCAGCAGCCCGAUCUCCCCGAUCCCAGCAAUCGAGUGUUUUGAGCGAUCGCUUCCAAAUGCAUUGUCAACAGGAUGAGGGAUUUUCUCCAUGAAAUAAUAGGUGAGGAGCAAAGUUCAUUUGUGCCCGGGCGUCUCAUCACGGAUAAUGUUCUUAUUGCACACGAAAGUGUUCACGCAAUGAAGAAGAGGAAGAAGGGAAAGAAUUGGGUUUGUGCAGUCAAAUUAGACAUGAUGAAAGCAUAUGACCGUGUUGAAUGGCAUUAUCUCGAAGCUAUCAUGACUAAAUUGGGAUUCAGCUCAAUAUUUAUCCGACUGAUUAUGAAAUGUGUUUCGUCGGUUCGGUUUGCAGUACGUGUGAAUGGUGAGUUACUGCCUUUUUUUACCCCAUCUAGAGGUUUUAGGCAAGGAGAUCCCGUUUCACCGUAUCUUUUUCAUCUGUGCGCGGAGGGCUUCACAACUCUGUUGAACAACUUUGAUGGAGUCCAUGCGGACAAAGGAAUCUGAGUAUGCACCCAGUCACCAUGGAUUAAUCAUCUACUGUUUGCGGACGACAGCCUUAUCUUUAUGCAAGCAAAACUGGAGAGUGUGACGAGGUUGAAUAACAUCUUGAGGAUAUAUGGCGAUUGUUCGGGCCAAUGCGUGAACAGAGACAAGAGCUCUAUUUUUUCAGUCCAAACACAACACAUCCGGUGAGAGUUAUGCUGAAAGGUGCCACGGGCAUUGGGGUAGAGGCAUUCAAUGAAAGAUAUCUGGGUCUUCCCACUACAGUUGGACGAAUUACAUCUGGUACCUUUGACUUCAUUGGUGAGAGAGUGAGGUCACAACUGAAUGGUGGUACAGAACAUUUGGUGUCUUGUGCAGCGAGGGAGAUAUUAAUCAAGUCAAAGGCUCAGGCAGUCCCGGCAUACACUAUGGGUUGCUUCAAGCUCACAAAAAAAGUGUAUAAGAACAUCUCCUCACCGAUGGCAAAGUUCUGGUGGAGUAGCUUGAUUGACCGAAAUUCCAUGCACUGGAUAGAUUGGAAGUCUUCGUCGCUUCCAAAAAUAAGAGGAGGAAUGGGGUUUCGAGAUUUGGAAUGCUUCAAUGUUGCGUUGUUGGGAAAACAGGGAUGGCGGCUGAUUACAAACCCGCAUGGUCUAUGUUCCAGAGUGCUAAAAGGAAGAUAUUUCCCGACGACUGAUUUUAUGCAUGCUAUUGUUCCGCGCAACGCUUCGGCUACCUGGCGGGCGAUAGUGGCUGGGAGAGGAGCAUUGGAGGCUGGGCUGUUGAGGAGGAUCGGGGACGGUUCCUCCGUAAGAAUCUGGGAAGAUAGAUGGCUGCCAGGGAGAUUAUCACUUCGACCAAUGGAGCAGAUUGGUUCUGCUACACUCUACACAGUGGCAGAUUUGAUUGACAAUGAGAGCUGGUCCUGGAAAGCUGAUCUAGUCAGGAAUAACUUCAUACCCCCAGAAGCUGAUGCAAUUCUCAAUAUUCCUCUCAGACAUGGUGGUGGUGAUGAUUUCUGGGCUUGGGAUCAUGAGAGGUCGGGUUCCUACACUGUAAAAUCCGCGUAUCGUGCUCUAAUGACUCAUAACGAGCAGUUAGCUCUAGAGGAAGGGACGAUUACAGGAUCUUCAGAGAACAAUAAGCAGGUGUGGACGCGACUAUGGAAACUAAAAGUGCUGCCCAAGGUCCGUGUGUUCUGGUGGCGAGUCCUUCGGGGCAUACUACCGGUGGAGACAACACUACAACACAGGCAUAUAGCAACCUUAGCGCGAUGCAAGGUCUGCAAAGGUAUGGAUGAAGAUAUGCUUCAUGCAUUGAUGAAGUGCUCUCAUGCGCAAAGCUUUUGGGCAGAAGCGAGAAGUUGGCUGCACCUCAAGUUGCCGGAGCUACACCCUUGUACGUGGUGCAAGGAUAUCCUCUGUGAUCCACGUUUUACUGAGGCAGACAGGGCUAAAAUAGUUACUGUCAUGUGGGCGAUCUAGACAUCACGAAACAGCAUAACACAUGAUAGAGUGAGUAUGGACCCGGUCCAAUCCAUGAAGCGUAUAAGAGAAACACUGUCUCUAUUGGAACUCCCAUUGGAGCAGACCAAGACACUGCCUGGGUAUGGAUGGAGACCGCCUGAAGUUGACUGGGUAAAAAUCAAUACGGAUGCUAGUAUUUCAGUGAUUGAGCACAAGAGUGGAAUAGGAGGUUUAGCUAGAUCUCCUUCUUCAUUUGUUGCUGCCUGGAGUAAGCCUUACCCCGAUGUUACAGAUCCUCUUAUUGCAGAAGCGUUGGCGUUACGAGAUGGGGUAAUAUUUGCAAAGCUCCGGGGGUUCUCGCGAGUGGCUAUGGAAACAGAUUGCUUGGAGAUGGUCAAGCUUGGCACUCGCGACGCUUUUCGUGCUCUAUUGUAGCGCCGUUACUUUUAGAAAUUGAUGAGCUAGCCUUAUCCUUUCUUUCCUUUGAUAUUCAACAUGUAAUAAGAAAUGCCAACCUGCCGGCCCACUUGUGUGCGAAACAUGCAAGCACACUUGGGGUAACCGACUGUUGGAUGGACUACCCGCCCGGCUUCCUCAUGACCAGCAUGAUGGCUGAUCGUGUUGGUGCCAUUGUUGUUGAAUAAAGCUCAUAGUUUCCCGCAAAAAAAAGGUAUUUCCUUUCACGUAAGAAGAAAGCGAUCAAUAAGCGGCUUGGACUAUUCCCUUCCUGUUCUGUUCGACUCUUUCAUCAUGCGGAGUCACGCAACGCCCAGGUCCCAGCCGUAGCUGCUGUCCGUCAACGCCGCCGUACACGCACGCUGCACGCACGCACUCCCACCUCGCCGCCGCGUGGUAAUUUCCUUUGUAAUCUGUAUAUGUUCGCCAUUGAUUUCAAUUCCGGGGCCCCUUUGGCAUUUUCUCAAUUGUUCUCUUCUCAAUCCUUUGCAAACUCUAGGCGCUGUGCAAUCCCCUGUGUAUUGUAUUGUAUACACGCACGCACUAAAGUUUGACCAUCACUCCAUCACGUAUUGAGGUAUAUUCAUAUAAUACUGAUACAAGAAAAUUCCUUUGAUGCAUAGCUGGCAAUGUUCAACAAUUGAUAGAACAAUUUUUUUUAUUUUCAGCAUUGUGUAUGUGUUAUUAUGAAGUCCUCCUGUAAGAGGAAUUAUCCAUCAGGUAGCAGCAAAAGGAAAAAAGAAGAAGGAAGUGGAGAAAUUGACACACACACAACGCUGGUGUUUAAAGAUAUAUUCGGAUUUUUAUUGAGCUCGGGCACUCUGAAGUCAUUAAGUGCCCAUGAACUUCGAAGAAUGUUGCACAACAUUUGCAGAAACUUUCUCUCUUAAUGAUUCAUCUCAUGUUGAGGUAUACGAUCUUAUUUCUAAAUUGCAGAUUAUGAAAUUAACUUUGCCAGAUGGCGUAAUGUCUGCUAUGGAGAUUUUCGGGCAUGUGAGGGAAGUCAACUGCUAUCAUAAUAUCUCUAUUGCCUAUCACAUCUUAUUUAUUGUGCAUGUGACGGUCGCAUCGGCGGAAAGAAGCUUUUCGAAGUUGAAAUUGUUAAAGAAUUAUUUGAGGUCAACAAUGACUCAAGAGAGGUUAAAUGGUCUAGCUACACUAUGCGUCGAGAAGAAAUUAUUGGAUGAGAGUGACAUCGACCCCAUCAUAAGCGACUUUGCAUCGAGGAAUGUUAGAAGAAAUUUUUAAGGUAAUAUGUAUAAAUUAUUUGAUAUGCGUACUGAUUUUAGAGUGAAGUGUUACUGAUAGUAAUUUAUAUAUAAACUAUUUUUUAGAUAAAUUUUUAUAUAUAUUUAUAUUAUAAUGACUUGUAUAUUAAGGGCCCCCAAUUUUUAGUUCGCCCCGGGCCCCUGAAAUCUCAGGACCGGCCCUGCAUGGAUGCCAUUCUAGGAAACAAACGGGCGAACAAAACUUCCUCAAUCUUAUUGUUCACCUCAUACGAGACUUUGAUUUCUCCACGGGGGACACCCAAAGUGCAUAACACAAAUUCCUCGUCCAAAGGGAGUCUUCCACGUCCCGGAAUGAUGAAUUCCCUAGACGCAUGAUCGUAUAUCUCACCGAGCCAGUCGCAUACAGGGUUCACUAGAUUCGUGCAUCGAACAUCCAUCAAUGCAUGCAUCCCCAUCUCAAUGGCAUCUCUCUUCUAGUCAUCGGUAAAACCCUUGGUCAAUAUAUUCAAGCGUUCUUGCGAAGCCCUAUUGCGCUGACGUUUCUUCUUCUGCAGAACACAAAAGGGUCAUUGUUUGCCAUGUUCAAUGUAAUAGAAAUUAGUUCUGACGAAUGAAUGUAAACUCGGUAUCACAAUAAAAACAGAGGGGGGAAAGUGACCUCGUCGCCGUCUUUUGUAUGACCGGUCGCACGAUUCCGUGGCGGUACCUGCAUGAAGUCAUCGUCAUCAUCUUGCUGGUCACCACGAGCCAUUGAGCUACGAUAAGAACAAAAAACAUGUUAGAAUAAAUGAAAACACAAACGACAGAUGCAGAAAGAGAUGCAGAAGUAACGAGGCAGUUGAUAUCAUCGACAACAAAAUGAAAACUGCCAUGUUUACCACUAAAAAGAAAUGUAUACAAUGUGUCAUAAUAGGGAGUUGCCACCUGCAAUCUGAAAAAUGCAUGGCAUAUGCUCAUAUGCAAAACUAAGCAGCUGACAAGAAAGAGUACUUGAGGAAAAGGCAUGCAAAAAUAAUGCCAUGAUGCGUAUAUGUAGUUUGCCACCUCCCUGAACACAAUUUAGCAAAAAUUGAAACGUGGAUGACUGAAUAAAUAAGCUAACUGACAAAAUUUGGGUUGAAUCAGAAGUUGCCAUGUUCUAAAAAUAUUUAUGUUGCCAUGUUUGCGCAAAAACAAAACAUGUCAAGUCUUAGUGCGUGAAUGGAGGUAAUUGCCAUCUGCUGAACAUGCACAGUAGGCGAAAAAUAACCACUGAAACAAGUGCAAAAACAUGGCAACUGAAAAAAGGUUUGCUUCAGAAAAGGGAGUUGCCAUCUAGCAGAUUGAAGUUGCCAUGUUGGCAGUAAACAAUAUGGCAACUGAGGUACCACAGUGGAACACCCAACUGCCGUUAUCCAACAUAUAAUGUGGCAACUGACACAUUGGCUUCAUAAAAAGGGAGUUGUCAUCUAGCAGAUUCAAAUUGCCAUGUUAGCAGAAAACAAAGUGGCAACUAAGGCAGCAUAGUGGAACAUCCAACUGCCAUUAUCCUACAUAGGACAUGGCAACUGACAUAGUUGAUUCAGAAAAUUAGUUGCCAUCUAGUAGGAUAGAUGUAGAUAAACAAGUGAAUUGAACUUGCCAGGACUGCCAUUAUCCCACACAUCGAAAUUUCAAGUUGCCAUGUUAGCAGAAAACAAAGUGGUAACUAAGGCAGUAUAGUGGAACACACAACUACCAUUGUACAACAAAAAAUGUGGCAACUCACACCUUGGAUUCAUGAAAAGGAGUUGUCAUCUAAUAGAUACAAGAUGCCAUGUUAGUAGUAAACGGAGUGGCAACUAAGGAAGUAUAUUGGAACACACAAACUGCCAUUAUCCUACAUAGGACAUGGCAACUGACAUGGUUGAUUCAGAAAAUUAGUUGCCAUCUAUUAGGAUAGAUAUAGAUAAACGAGUGCAUUGAAAUUGCCAUGGCUGCCAUUAUCCUACACAUCGAAAUGCACCUAACUAGAUCUAGGGUUCAAACCCAACUAUCAGUCCCUGAGUUCGACUACAACAUCGCCCAUAAAACAGUGAUAAUGACAGCUUACGAGACCAUCAAUACUAACAAAAACACAUUAGAAAUCGCUAUCACAUAGAAUUGCAGGAAUCUAAUCUCUCAUAAACAGGGAGAUAGUUGUCGAACGGGCGAGCCUCGCUGGCUUGACUACCACCGCAACAGCGACGAAACUACGCCAAUGCUGGCCUAAAUGGCACACACGCGACUCCACCGCCGACGGGACACUAGAGCACCGCGAAUCUGCCUGAAUCUCGAGAGGGCUCGGGAAGGAUGUGACCAGGGAGGAAGGGAGAGAGACUGGACCAGUAGAAAGCUUCGAGAGCCUUACCUACUCGUUGUGGCUGCUCCGGCAACGACGCUCCGGUCCGGUGAACACCAGCGACGACCGCGAAUACCCACUAUUCUUCCGCCGCCGCCGCCUCCCCCUCUCGACUGCACCUCCUAUCGAAUGAAACUGCUGUUGUGGGGGGUGGGAAGAAAUGAAGGAGGUGGGGGAGAAACUGCAGCGCCGUUGAGGGGAAAAUGGGAAGACGUGGGAGACGGUGAAUAGGAGUCGUGCGCGGCGUGCGAGCGCGACAGCAGUUCCACCGCACGUCCGACUCACAACCGCGACCACUCCGAGCGAGGAAUGGGCGUCCGGGCGAAUUGCUUAACUCCCACACACGCUCCCCUGCCUACGUGGCACACAAAAACUGCUAGAACGCGCCAAAAUUUGUGCAAUAUUGAUUGGACGAGGAUCCAUGCGUGUGGACGAGUUGCCAGACGCCCACACGUGUGGGUGUUAUCUUUUUUAUUGUUUAUUUCCCUCUGGUUUCUUAUGCUACAUGGAAGUAAAAUAUUUAUGUGUGGAAAUUGUUAUGUUUAAAUGUGCUAACACUUGGUCGUCAUAUGAUUUAUUGUUCCCAAAUAGGCCGUUAAGGAUAAUGUUAAUUUGUCCUCGGGUGCAUACUGGGUACCUGGCCAAGAAUCUAGUACCUAUCUCAACUAUGGGGCUGGUAUAAGUGAGCUACAAUAAAAUUCUGCUAAAUGUCAAUCACACUAGCAUAGUUAAAUAAUGACCGGAUGUUCUGCAUAUGGAUGAUAUUGUGAUACUUUUAUGAUUUCCUUUUUACUAAAAAUCCACGUAGAGAUUGAUCUUCUUAUAGGAAGCUAUUACAUUACUACAGAGCGACCUCCAGAAAAACGAGACGCGUCGAAACCCCUGGCUCCUCAGCGAUUUGGGCCUCUCGGCCGUCCGAUCGGUUCCCUUGAUGUGUUUUCGGCCAUCGGAUCAAGCCACCGGCAGAUCUCGUCCGUCAGAUCCAAUCCCGCCCCCCUUAGCACGUUUGACCCCGCCUGGCUCGCGCGUCAGUAACUCCUUCCGCCUGGCCGGAUCUCGCUGACCUGUGGGGUCCCGGCUGGAGGGCCCCGUCCGUCAGCGAGCGGGUGCGCGGGUGCGGCCGGUGCGGCCAGUACCGCGCGCGGGCGGUAAAUAUCCCGUGCCACCGCCGAAAUUCCCGUCCCCACCAAGGGCAUUUUAGUCAUUUCGCGUCUAGGUCAACACUUGCCGUUUUGCAAUUCGCUGCCUUCUCCCCCAAUGAGUGUAGGGUUCGAUCUGUCCUCACUCUCUUUCUUCCCCGCACGUCUCUCUCUCUCUCUCUCUCUGAGCCGCCACCGCCAGUCAUCCUCCUUGUCCGUCGCCGCCGCCAUCCAUCCGCAGCCGCGCCACCAUCCCCUCCCCGUUCCUCUUCCGCCGCGCCACCACCCCCUCCCACCUCCGCCGCGCCACCAUCCCCUCCCUGUUCCUCUCCUGCCACGCCACCAUCCCCUCCCCAUUCCUCUCCCGUGGCUGAGCCAGCCAUGGCCCGCCCUCCUCCUCCCGCAUCCCAUCUUCGUUGCCAGGCGCGCACUGCCGCCACCCUUCCUCCUUCCCUCCUACUGUCCUGAUCCACCAAGCUCAGGGUCGAGAGGCGCGCCAGAUCCAGGCGCGGCGGCUCGUUGGUGAGCGCGGUGGCGGCUAUUGAUGGGCUCGAGCUCUAGCAUGUGGGCGCGUUGGUGAGCGCGGCGGCGGCCGUGGGGGCAGCGGCGUGCUGUUGAGCACGACGGCGGCCAUGGCUGAGUGCGAGUGCCUCAUUCUUCGAUGGCUUCUGUUGUUGUCGUGGUUGAUUUGCUUGAUUACUUUCGGUUUGUCCAGGGUCUCACGUGGGAUUUCGUUGCAGGUUCUGAAGAGCCACCGGUUGUUCGGUUCGUCGAGGCUUCAACCGUCCUGCCGACUGCUGCUGCAUCGAGAGGUUGCAAGGCUUCUGGUCUGUGAGCUCUUUUUUUUCUUUCUAUCUAGCUAAUGUUUCUUAGAUUGGUUGUUAUGUGUUGGUUGUUAUGUGUGGCUUCAAUAGUUUCUUAGAUUUGUUGGCUGCUCAUAUCUGGAUAAUGUUUUUUUGGAUGCAUUAGUUGCUCGAGGCUGGAUAUGGUCGGAUUCCUUUGAUGGAUUGGUGGAUCUACUUGGAUCCUUGGUAUUUUUUGUUGUCAUAUGGGAGGCUCGGCCGCAUGUCUAGAUUCCUGCCAGUUUGUUUGUUCCUUUCUGAAUUUGUCUGCUGCUUAUGGGUUUGGCAUUGUCUGAUGUUGUUAGCUUGGUUUAAAAUAUUUUGCCACUCUCACUGUUGGUUUCGGUUAGUCCCUAGGAUUAGUUGUUGGGUUAUGUUAGGCUCAAAUGUAUGGCCAUUUGGAUUAGUAACUGAUUAUGUUAGGCUCAAAUGUAUGGCCAUUUGGAUUAGUUGCUGAUUAUGUUGGGCUCAAGCGUAUGGCCAUUUUGGAUUAGUAGCUGAUUAUGUUAGGCUCAAAUGUGAUGUGCGUUUAGGGUCAUUUUUAUUAGUACCUGACUUUUGUUCUUUGGCUUAAGGAGUAGUUGGAUGAAUCACAUGGUUGGCAUAUUGUAGGGGUUGUGGCUGUUGUGGAUGUGGUUCAGUGGAUUUAGGAAGCCAUUCUUAGGUGCUUGAUUGGAGCUUGUUAAGUAAAGGGGGUGAGAUGAUUGUGUUGAUUGAUUGAUUCAAGAUCUGCCUGGUCAUUUGUUUUUGGGAUCAUACAUCUCACACGUUGGUUUGAGGGAAUGGUGGGCCAUCAGGGGCUGGAUUUGUUUUUGUUUGAUUGGGGCUUGCAAAAGAGAGGUGCGGGGCAGGCUGUUGCUGUAUGAUAGGUUCCAAAAACUUAAUUGGUGAUUACUAAUACUAUAUUUGUUGUGGUGUAAAAAAUUGUGAUAUGGCCUAUUUCGACUUGAUUCAGAGGAUCUCAUGUGAAAGCAUGACUUGUGUGCAUCUUUAUAUAUGUCCGGGACGUCGCGGCUAGACUCAGUAGAGACAUGUUUAAUACUAGAUCCAAGACGUAUUAAUUGAACACGUUCUGACAAUCAUACAAACCAAAGCCUUGAGAUAGUACUUUAUUUCUAUGGUGUCUUUCUCAUAGUUUAUAGCAACAUUUGGUGUGUCGUAUAUAAUAUGUCUAUGAUAAUUGAGGUGCCAUCUUGAUUCUUGGAUUGCUUUGUUCUUAGGUAUGUUGGUUAGCAUCACUACUACUUUCAGAAUUCAAGGUGCAUGAUGGAUGCAAGGUUUUUUUUGCUCUGUUUUUUAUUAUAAAUAAUGGGGUUACUAAUAGUAUUCUUAGGUAUGUAACUUACUAUGACUACCUUGCUACUUGAAUAUUCACUAUGUAUUAGAUGUGAGUGAUAUAUGGUCACAUUCUUGCAUCUGAUCACGCCCUUUAUUAUUCUAUCUUUCAUGUUUUUAUCCCUGACUUUGUUUGGGUACACCUCAGCCUGCUCACUCGUCUUUCUGUUGUUGUCUUCCUGAUCCAGAUUAUGCCCAGAUCUCUGCUGCCAUCGACGCUCCAUCGACGCUCCAUCUCCGGAGUCAUCCUGGUAUUUUACUUUGCAUGCUUCUUUUCUAUGGCUCUGUCCGUUUAUGAUGUUUUCUUCUUGGAUUAAUGCUAAUCAUGUUAUGCACUUUUGCAUAUCUAGCUCCUAAUGGGAGCCACAUUGUAUUCCCCUUCCAGUGUCGUGAAUGCUCAUGGUUGUAGAUUGACAUUACUGAAGCAAGGACCUGUGUAAAUAAAUGUUACAGGUGACCACAUGUGGGUAGGAUUGUUGGUUAGGAAUUACAUAGCCUUGGUACCCCAGACCAAUAUAUUCAUUUAAUUGUUUUAAAUUUGGAUACACCAAGCAAAAUUAUAUAUGCUAGCUCAGUUGUGUAUAAUUUUUUAUAGUAGUCAGAUCCAACCUUUGUAUUUGCUUUGCUUGUUGUACUUUGGUUAGAAGCAAAUAAUGUGAUGUUGUUCUGUUGUGAUAUCCACACUGUCAAUAUCAAAGUGUACAGGUCUAUUCCUUUUUUUUUAUCAUUUUCACUUAAUUUUCCUUGUCCAGUUCAUUUUUGAAACUGAGUAUUGUAUGAGGUCCUACACGCUUCCAGCUUGCUGUAUUUGCUAAACACAUACUGCAAUGGUGGGUGAUUAGUUUAGUUUCAUAUUUAGACAAGAUAGUCUUUCUGUAUGUCAAGUAAAAUCAUGGAAAAAUUACUAAUGGGGAAGAUUGUUGUGUUUUAGGAGCAAAUGAUCAUGCCUUAAGAAUAUGCAUUUGUAGUUGUUUGAUUCUAUCAUGCUUGCUUCUCUUUUUCUACUCAGUUACACCAGGCAGAUCAAAUGAUUUUUGCCUUUGCCUUGAGUUUUAAUCGUUCUGUCGCUACCCAGCCGUUGUUAUGUUCGUUUCUCCAACCCAUGGUUGAUAACUAAGAUUUCGAAAGCAAUGGAAGAUAUAGGAGGACGUAGGGCUCCGAUAAGGGCUCCGAUGGCUCCUGCACGGCGUGAUGCCGGUUAAGGUGAUCUUGUGGUACAUCUGUUCUUCCUAUCUCCUAGGUUCAUCGUGCCUCCAUUGAUUUUGAUUUUGCCUUCAAUUCUGAUGCAGGGUAGUUGCCCAUGGUGUUCCUGCGACUGCUAUGUAGGCGGAUCUGGAGGUUGAACCUCUUUCCUCUCUGUUCGUUUGGUACAGCAGCUUGUUCUAUGUGACCACGACAGCGAUGGAGCUCUCAGUGAUGUGGAGCUCAAUGACUUUCAGGUUUGUAUUCACUGAGGCCACCAUUCUUCCUUUAUCUUAACAUGAGGCUGACUAGAGUUUUUUAUUGACAUUCUUCUAUGUAUGGUGAUACUAAAAUUCUCAUUCCAUUGGUUUGCAGGUCAGAUGUUUUAGCGCUCCUCUCCAGCCUACUGAAAUAUCAGGCGUGAAGAGAGUUGUUCAAGAGAAGAUGCCCGAAGGCGUAAAUGAUAGUUGCCUUACAUUGACUGGGUUCCUUUUCCUUCAUGCUCGGUUAUGAUAAUGAAAUCAUGCUUAGAGAUGAAUUCAUUCCAACGUCAGUCAAGCGAGCUCCUGAUCAAGUAAUGUUCUCUUGAUUACUAUCAGCUAUUCACAUUUUGUUGUCAGUUGAAGCUAGACCAAUUUUUAAGUGCACAUAUAUUUUUGCGUCAAGUUGUUCUUAUAAGGGAUUACGUGUAAGUUGAUAGUUGAUUUCAACUGUAUGGUGGGUAUAUGCAAUCCUGGCUUCAAUAUUCAUUUAUCUAUGUGUUUAAUAUUUGCCAUACCUUUGGUUUAUAAUAUUUCUUUGGUACUAAAGUCAUAUCACUAUCUUUGUUACAGAUGGUGGAAUUGACAAAUGAAGUGAUUGAUUACUUGAAAGGAAUAUUCAACAUGUUUGACAUAGAUAAUGUAAGUCUGAUGUAUUGUUUGUCACAUUUGUUUUUUAUCCUCAAUGUAAAUGUUAUUCUUGCCAUUUUCAUUCUAAAUCUUAUCCCUAAAAAACUUCUGUGUUGGAGGAAGGUCUUAAAUGCGUUUGUGACGUAGUCGUUGGUGGUGGAUUAGCAUAACCAUGUCCCUGGGAUUUAAAUUUUGGAUUAACAUUCUUCAGUGCCUAAUAAUUUCAGAACCAUUGUGGCGUUGUUGCUUGAUCCAGUUGAAGUUUUAAAUCAAUGGUCAUACUUGCAAAUAAUUUAGUUGUUGAUAAAAAUAGCACUGUAGUGAUCCUCUGGCUAUCUGAGUAUUAAACUUGAUACAUGAACUAAGUCAACUCAAAGUAGCACCUUAAUACUUGACAUGGCUGUCUGAUUUAGUCUCGCAUUGAUACUUUACUCUCCUGAAGUAUGACUCGACGCUACACAUAUUAUUUCUGCUUAAUGAUAGUGGGGAAAAAUAAUUUCUAGAGUACUAGACAGAAGUGGACUCUAUGACUGAUCCGCCAAAGAGCGGACCUGUUACUCGUGUCCAAUGCAUUUUACCAGCCGCCACGAUCGUGUUCUUUUGAAGGUAGGCCCACUUCUUCAAGCCUACUUAUUAUUUUUGUUGUUGCUAAUCUGCUUUCUUAUGGACACCUCUACCAGAUCCGCCGCCACUGCGAAGCCCAGCUCCUGAGUGCUUUAAAGGUGAGCAAGAAAGAAGAACAGGGGUGUGGUGCUUUGGUACUGAUAUUGCUUUGCAUCUGCGCUGACUAGAAAAUGUGNNNNNNNNNNNNNNNNNNNNNNNNNNNNNNNNNNNNNNNNNNNNNNNNNNNNNNNNNNNNNNNNNNNNNNNNNNNNNNNNNNNNNNNNNNNNNNNNNNNNNNNNNNNNNNNNNNNNNNNNNNNNNNNNNNNNNNNNNNNNNNNNNNNNNNNNNNNNNNNNNNNNNNNNNNNNNNNNNNNNNNNNNNNNNNNNNNNNNNNNNNNNNNNNNNNNNNNNNNNNNNNNNNNNNNNNNNNNNNNNNNNNNNNNNNNNNNNNNNNNNNNNNNNNNNNNNNNNNNNNNNNNNNNNNNNNNNNNNNNNNNNNNNNNNNNNNNNNNNNNNNNNNNNNNNNNNNNNNNNNNNNNNNNNNNNNNNNNNNNNNNNNNNNNNNUGGUUCAUGAUGAAUUCGCUCUGUAGAUGUACCAUUACUCAUAUUUCUAGCCUCUUGCAAGUCAUCAUUUUGUUAAUCACGGUUUUUUAUGAAAACUGAAACCUAUCACUUUCGGUCCAUAUGAAGCAAAAGAAAGUCUUGCAGUAUGUUGCAAUUAUAUUGUGAUGAUUGGCAGGGAAUAACUUAAGUCUUUGAAAUUUGGUACAUGUUGUCGUGCAUCGAUUCAGCCCCAUUGUGCCAUCAGAAUGACUUGGAUUUACAAUUUGUAAGCAGAACUCAUGCUUCUUACUACCCCUUCCAGCUCUAAAAUACAUAUAUGUUUUUUUUUCUUAUUUUGUACCGCUAAACUAUGUGUGCUAAACAAAGCAUGUCGUAUUAUUUUCAGAUAAAUGAUGAUGUAGUUAUGCGCGCCAUCCAAACAAUACACACGUGGUUCCCAAAUUGGAGCAUAUAUUUCCGUGAAGAUCUUGAAGUAUGGUCUUUGCUUUCUCUUCUCACAUCUGCCAUUUAGAAUUUAUUUCCCUAUUUCUAUCACAUAUGCACUGCUUUACCAAGAUCCCACUUUGAUUAACGUCGUUCUAUUAUACUGGAUGUUUAUUCGCCUGUCACAAUGGCAUAUCCAUGUUGUUUAUAUUGUUUGGUUUGUAUUUCAUGCACGGAGUGACUUGGUUGUUUGCCGCCGUCUCCACUUGGUUUCCUCCAUGUUUCGAUCUGGUACCUCCACUCCUCACCACCUUGCUUGCCGUGCGAGCGUGUGGGUGUGUGUAUAAGUGCAACGCUUGGUUUGGUCAGUCGCUGAUUCCUCCGAACAAUUGGACUAUUGGGUGCUCAAAGACUUUAGGGGGUAGGACGGAUCCAACAAUGCAAGGAAUCGAUCAGUGGAAGUGUGGCACUCCUCAGAGCUCAGGCCUUCCUGGCCGUUGGAUCAGUUUGUUGAUGCGUUCUCAGCCGUGCAAUCUUGCCUUCGGAUGACUUUGGUCGUCGGAUCAAAUCCGAUUACUGCUACAAUGAGUAGUGAUGGAGACAUAGAACCUGUCAUCAUUUUGUCGGACUAAUUAUGGAGUUACUUGUGCAAGUUACACCAUCAGCAAACACAUGAAGACCUGAAUGCUAUCAUUGCAAGUUGAACAUUUACAUGCUCCAAGUCAAUCUGUUAGGGAGAAAACAAAGGCGUGUGUGCCUAUUAGUAAUUUUUUGUUUUAUCAUAGUGGGCACCUUAUCUGUCUGUAACAUGUGCCCUGUGCAACUGCAAAAGUGUUGGACAAUAAAAAUUCUGUGUAACACAUGUUCCUAUACACUCUACCUACGGUUAGUAUAGAAACUAUGCAUAGUUGUUACUCUUUUGGUGGCCUUGUGUAAUAUAUAUGGCAAAUAAAUUAUCAUGAACUAUUGAGCCUUUCACUUUUUCUGUAACAUACUGAACCUUUGCACUAUUGCUUUCAUCGUAUAAUCGUAUGAGAUAUAAAAUGUUUCAUAUCAGGUUGGAUAUAGCUGAGGCGGGUGGGGUGUGGCAAGCCGCACUUCCUAUCUAGUUAUGUAUGACUGUGGAAUGAGUUUGAACCCUGCAAUGGACUUGGGCCAGGUUUGAGAUAUUUUCCACUGAGCUAUGCUCUUCUUUUAUCAUUCGACAGUUAACAUGGAUAUUUAUAUUGCAGCCCUGAUCAGAGUUGUUGUUCAUUAUAGUAAACGGCGGAAUCAUAUAUUCAUUAUUCAUAUCUGAUCUCUAUCAUCAUCUGACAGAUUGAAUGCUCCUUUAUACAAGGAAUUGGCUUCUUCAUAAACAAAGAACACGGAACGAAACAAACACUGAUGGAAUGGUUGUGAGCGAUAGCACAUGGGUAUACAAGAUCCCGAGCAUCGACACCGUCCCAAAGCAGUUCAAUGCCGAGGUGCUCAACACCGGAUACCACAAGAACCGCGUGCUCUCGUCGAAAGGUAGAGAGUGUGAUCUCUUUCCCUGGAGCAACAACAUGAAUAUAUUUCACUUGUUUGCAUGAAAAAUAUCAUUAGUUAUUAAGGUAAUCAAACCACGUUUGCCUCUGUCAGCUUCGGGGGAACCUGCCUUGGUUCUCGCAUCAUUCGUCCAUUGCGUGGUGAGAGAAGCCAUCCGAGCAGUGAGGAAGGAGUUUGGAACGCUCGUGAAAGAAAUGUGUCGUUGCAUGAUGCAAGAUUCUGGUGGUAUCAACCAGAAGGAGCGGUGUGGCGUUCUCAUGUUGCGCAGCAUCGAAUGGCAAAUCAUAGACGUGAUGUUUGAAUGUUUGUAAUGUCCAGUGUUGUGCUUGCACACUUUUCUAAUAACUAAAAACAAAGCUUGUGAUUUAUAUGUCCAUAAUAAUGUGAUUUUGUAAAUAAAUGUUUAUUAAAUUCUGCCAUGGAUUACCUUAUAAUUUUGAUCAGAAGUUUGGUAAUUAAAUUAAAGUGGAAUUGGUUAAGAAGGUAAUUAAAUUAAUUUGAUUGAUUAUCAUACAUAGGGGUAGUGGGAAGAAAUGUAAAAUGAGAACCUUACAUUCUUUUUAAGUAGUAUAGAGAAGAGAAGAUAGAGAUAGAGAUAAUUCCAGGUUGAGAUUUGUGUUUGUAAGUCCUGACUGAACCUAAAGGCGGUGCCAGCUCCCAUGCUAGCUGCUCGCAUGCCACUUGGAAUGACUCGCUCAAUCUAACACUUUCCCUUUGGCUCCCCUUCCCCCUCCCUCGCCGCCGGUCCUCGGCCCCUUGCCCUCCCUCUCCCCUCGCCGCCGCAGGGCAAAGGAAGAACACUGAAGUUGAAAUCAGUAAAGAAGUAAAGAGUACUUCUCAACAAAAAAAAAGUAAAGAGUGCCCAAAAGGGUACAAACUGAUAACUAGAUAAAGAGUACAGUGGCAAAAUGAAAUUAUCAAAGGUCAAAUAGCAAAUGAAACAAGCAAACAAAGUACCAAAUAAGAUAAGAAUUAUCACAGCCAUUCAAGACAAAGGAAGAACAGAAAAAGAAUGAACAGAAGACAAGAAAAAGAUCAGUUCAAAUUUCAGAUGUUGAAGGUCAUUUUUAUUCAAGUAUAUCCAUUGGGCGACAGGCGCAGAGUUGGCCUGUUUAUAAAAAGUUACUCCCUCCAUCCCACAAUAUAAGAUCGUUUCUCGAAAAACGAUUUUACAUUGUGGGACUGGGGGUAUUAAUGGUACUUCUGCAAAACAUGAGAUCAUAAGAGGUAUAUGCUGGCAUAUGACAAUAUGGUUGUUCUCCACAUAUUUUGGCUUCUAAAAGCAUUAAAAAGGUCAUCGACAAAAGGCUAACCAUCCAAAUUGUAAUCUUUGAGGCCAGUUAGCAGCUGCUGUGCUGUGCCAAAACAGUAGAAAAGAUAUUGAUAACUUCCGACUUCAAUGUGCAUCACUGCCAAAAGAACCAGUAAAAAUUUAAUGGUGUAGUAAAGGAGGACAUGCACAGACAGGAAAAGAGGGCAUGUUUGGAACACAGAAAUGGGAAAAUUUUGCUGCAGAUCAUGUUUCACACAUUUAAAAGGGAGUGAACACAUUCAACCACUACCAGUAGUAGGACCAGAGACCACCAGAGUGAGACGAGCUUAAGCAAAAGCCCGAAUGCACCGAAUUGGCACCCUCCAUGGACCACAAAAUCAUGAGAAGGCAAACUGAACACCACAUGAGGUGAUUUGUGCGUAGCUGCUCUUAAUGAGAUAGGCGAAUGCCAAACUACGACAAUUUAUCAAACUAAACAUAAGAAGGCGACAGGAAUAAAUCAACAAGGAGCCAUAUCAAUAUUCCGUGAGAAUGAAAAGAUCCCAAAGGAGGGGAGAGCACAUUUUUAUACCCUCAGCUCCUCGGUUUAUGUCAGCCAUGUUUGAUCACCAAAGCCCAAGCCAGCCAGCCAGCCAGAUAGAUGAUGCAAAGGGGUACCGAUUCCCACCCCAAACCACCAACCCCUGCUGUUUCAGCCAGAACCCUUCCUCAUUGCUGGGGCUUGGAAUGGCAAGCAUCGAAGGUUAAAGUUAACAAGGACAACACUAUCAAAUGUCAAUACAAGAAAAAAUGAUAAUGGAGGCAAAAAUAGGAACAAAAAAACUGAACAAUAGCAACAAUAAGAAACUGCUUUUAAAUUGGUUCAAUGAAAAUAUUUCACGCCAUCUUACCUUCGAGAAGGUCCACAAAAAGAACCAGAGCCAUAGGUAACGCCAGGUUCACUUUUCAAGCUACAGGCCCACAAUGUACAGAAGAGUACAUACGACUUAAUUUUCAACAUGAGAAAAACACACAAAAGCUGUUCAGGAAAAUCAAGCUGUUUUUUAGAAUACUCACUGAUCCAAUUACUAUAAUAAUCUGACAAAAGAAGUAUAAAACACAGGUAUCAUAACAAACACAUGGCGCACAAGGAAUAGUUCACAAAAUCAAGGAAAAUUUUGGAGUAUUGUUUGAAUGGCUCAGAUUUACCCCACCAUGAAUCACCGAAGUUGGAAAAUGCUUGAGAUAGUAAAACAACAACAAAGCCUUUCAGUCCCAAACAAGUUGGGAUAGGCUAGAUCUGAAACCCAUAAGAUACUGAAACCUACUCAUGGUUCUGGCACAUGGAGAACUUCCAUGCACCUCUGUCCAUGGCUAGUUCUUUGGUGAUAUUCCAGCAAAAAAAAACCUCUCCCUCUUUCUUCACCCAGCAACAAAUAGCCACAACUGGUAACAUGCUGCAGAGCAAGGCCUCCUAGUUUAACGACUAAUUGUCUAGCUGAGUAGAGUUGAACGGAACCAACCUAGGAGAUGUAAAAACAUCUCCAUCUCAGGAUAUGGUGAAAGAUCUCCAGCACCACAAGGGGCACAAAAAUCAUCAUAGCCAUACAGUAAAGAAUAGAACGCAUCAACACACAAUGGAAACAAAUAUGCUGUGUCCAGAAGUUAAUUCGGACUGAUGGUCGCAUUACUGCAAUGAAAGAAGUAACUGACAUUUCUUCACUUCGGACAAAAGGAGUCACUGCAGGCCAAAUAAAAACAGGAUAACAUAAAUUUUCGUGUUUGAACCAGAAGAAAAACAUAAACUUGCCAACCAGGUUAUCACAGCACAGCAUCAACCAAAUGGGAUCCUUUACCCCAAACAGAAAAGGGGAGGUGCCGCUCGCUUGUUUAUCCCAUGAAAAAUGGGGUUCCAAUGCUAAAUAAUCAGGUAUGUGACAUUGGACAGUGGCAUACUAUUCCACCAUGAAACCAAACACAUAUCAGUCCAACCUUUGGCAAAACGAAAACAAAACCAAAGAACACUGAAUAAAUUUGAAAAUAUAUAAGAUACAGAGAAGGGAGACAAUGGCUAAUAUACAGAUCCCAGGUGACCCAAGCAAAAGCACCAAGAGCACCUUCAAUCAUGAUUAGACAAAAUAUAAAAUCUUUUUAAACAAACGAAUGCAAUUGACUGGACACUCAUUUUAAACAACCUGCGAGGAAUCAGUUCCUCGCUAAUGAAUCAAAAUGUGGCAAGUUGACAGCAGCAGCUUAAAAAGAGACUAAUGACCAGCAAAAUAAAUACUACCGUGGUUGUUGCCAACGGGGAUCCCCCAUUCCGAAAGGUAACGGGACCAGCCCUUAGGUCCAAAGUUGUAUGCCACUGCUGUGGUGCUGAUAGAUUCACUACUGAAGCCCCGUUAUCGGACAUUGCAGGCUUAGCAUCUAUUUUUCGUAUAUCGCUCCACCACACCGAGAAGUCUGCUCUGACCAAAAUAAAACUAACGCAGUAUGAGCUUCAGUUCUAAGAAAACGCAGUUAUUGCUGAUCAUAACUUUGUCUUUGAAGAAGCAUCUGGCAGGACAAGACAAGCAAAACAACAGCUUCUCGUUAACCACAUGAAUAGAACAGCCAAUAGCUAAAAACAUUGGAGAAAAAAGGACAAUCCUGUGAUACACAAUCCCUCCGUCCCAUAAUAUAAGAGCGUUUUUUACACUAUAUGUAUUCCCUCCAUAUAUUCAAUGAGAGCUCAGGUGGAGAGGGAUUCAGAAUUAAGGCAGCAGAUUAGGGUGUAAUUGCAUGCGUACCGAUUCAAGCCAAAAAGCGGAACUGUAUCGUGAAAAAUCCAUCGCGGCAGCUCAGAUCUCAGGCCUCCUUUGGUUCAUAGGAUAGGAAUAUCAUAGGAAUAGGAGCCAUAUGAGUUUUCCCAUAGGAAUCAUAUCCUAUAUAAUUCCUACGAAAUUCCUGUAAACCAAAGGAGGCCUCACUGUGGACAGCCGACUUCCCAGGCAUGAGAGGCCACACAGGGUCCCAAUCUUCCACGAUGCCCAACCCAAAACCGCCAGCCCCUGCCGUUUCAGCUGCGGCAACUGCCCGAGGAGGGUCCCAAGCCAAUGCAUCAGUGCAGUGGGCCUGAACAGGAGGGGUGGCCCCAUGAACCAAAGCUCCAAGGCCACCACCAGGGCUAGGGAUGAUGUCUGGGAAGUUUUGUAAGGACAAUGAUGGCAAGCAUCAAUAAUGGUAGUUAAGGAGGACUAUUAUACCAAUGUCAACACAAGGAAAAGUAAUAAUUGGAUGGUAAAAAGAGGGGGGAGGGGGGGUGUUAACAGUAGCAUUAAAAAACUGCUUAAAAUUGGUUCACUAUAAAAAGACUUCACAUCCUCUCACCUUCCCUGAAGGCCAGAAGGUCCACAGACAGAAGGAACCAGAGCCAUAGAUAGGCGGGUUCACUUUUCAAGCUACAGCCCGGAGUGUAGAGUAUAAACGACUUAAUUUUCACCAUGGGAUCAUGACCAUUCACGAUUGCCAACAAGAUAUAGUUUAAAAAAGGCUGUUUAGGAAACCAAGCUGUUUUCUGGAGUAUAUUUCAGAAGUACCCAAUCCUAAAAUUUCUAUAAUCAGGCAGAAGUACAAGUGCGAAGUGUUAGACUCACGUACCAUAACAAAUACAUGAGGAAUCCUCUACUUCUCAAUAGCUACAACCCACUAGCUAAUUUUUAAUAACAUGCAGCCAUGCCACAACAGCACGUAUGGAUGUCAAUCACAAAUCAUAACUUACAUUUAUUUACAUCCAAUUCACGAUCUAAUUUUUCUAAGCAUGCAACCAUGCCACCUAAGGACCUAUGCAUGUCAAUUAUAAGUUGCACCUUUUUGCAUUAAUUUAAAAAUGAAACCGCGCCAUAUUACCAAGCGAUACAUGUCGAUGGCGUUGAUAAGUUAUAUUUUUUGAAUUGUAACAUGUCGACGUCGUUGAUAGGUUACAUUUGUUUAAUUGACUUUUAUAUUGUCAUAUACAGCAUACAUGGUGGAUACUUGAAGCCUAUCUACGUAGUUCAUGAUUUGCACUUUUUAUAGAAACAAAAUGGCAUGUUGCUACAAUGUAAGUCAAGAAUAUUAUUAUUAUCUUGCAUCAGUUUAGUUGUUUUCUAGCACCUAUUAAUACAAUUAUUUUAACGAGGUUCCCACGGCAACACACGGGGGCCAGGGCAUCAUCUAGUAGUUCACAAAAUCCGGGAAAUUUUUGGGGAGUACUACUUGAAUGAAUGGCUCAGAUUUACCUGCCCAUGAAUCACCUUAGUUGGACAAUGCUUCAGGUAGUACCAUAAGGAAUAAAACCUCUCUCUCCACUCAGCAACAAAUAGCCACAACUGGUAACUUGCUGUAGAGCAAGGCCUCCUAGUUUAAUGAUUAACUGUCUAACUGGGCAAAGUUGAAUGGAACCAACCUAGAGACGUGAAAGUGUCUCUAUCUCAGGAUAUGUUGAACGACACCAUGGGGCGGAAAUCAUCAUAGCCAUUCAGAAAAAGAAUAAUUAACAACAACACACAACAGAAACAAAUAUGCUGUGUUCAGAAGUUAAUAUGGAAUACUGCACUGAUGGCCGUAUUACCGGCAAUGAAAGAAGCAAUUGCCAUUUGUUCACUUCAGAUAAAACGAGUGACUGCAAGCCAAAAUAAAAACAGGAGAACAUGAACUUUCUUUUUUGCAACAGAAGAAAGCCAUCAACAGGGUUAGUGCUGCAGGUUACAGUGAACAUAAUGUAAACGAGAAAUAGAAUUGUAGAUUCAGAAUUUAAAAAAAUAUAAUUAAUAAAUUAAUAGAUCAAAUGUAAUUAUUACAAUUGCUGAUGCUUGCGGUGCCGUAGUGCAGCAAAUACAUGAAUGUAAGACCUUCCGCAAAAUAAAAUGCGGUUACGACUAAAUGGGAAUGCUGAGACAAAAAACAGAACAUGCAUAACAAAGGACAUACAGUUGCAAAUAAUAGCAUAGUUUGAUGAAAAGAUGUGAAAUCCUGUUCCUCUUUCUAGGCCCUUCACAACACAAUUUUUUUAUUUAUUCAAACAAAGUAGUCCUUAAUGAUGCAUCUUUAUUUCAAAGCAUUCUGCUGUAAGCAACCAAACUGUUAAGUGGAUUCUUAAUUCCAUGUAAUCUCUCUCCACACUGUUAAGUGGAUUCUUAAUUCCAAUGUUUAACAGUAAUUGUUAGCCGCUAAACCGGUUACUUGUUGUGACACAAGGACUCCUAGAGUCUUAGUUUAGCAUCUACUGAACCAAUUCAGGUAUUAGAUAGAAGCACCCACAUGGAAGCUAUAUCAUCGCAGCCAUUCAUGAACAUGACAUGAAGGAAACAGUAAUCUUGACAUCUGAACUUGCCCUAUAUGACCCUUAAGAUGAAAACCAGUAAAUAAAUGAGGAGUGCCCAAAAGUACAAACUGAUAACUAGAUAAAGAGAACAGUAGCAAAAUGAAAUUAUCAAAAGUCAAAUAGCAAUUGAAACAACCAAACUGAUACAGUACCAAAUAAGAUAAUUUCAAAAAAUACCCAAGGGCAGCAUUAUUAUCACAGCCAUUCAAGGAAAAAUAAUAACAGAAAAGAAAAGGCCCGGAUGCACCAAACUGGUUCCCUCAAUGGACAACAAAAUCAUGGCAAGGCAAACCGAACACCACGAGAGGUGAUUUGUGCGUAGUUGCUCCUAAUGAGAUGGCCCAAUGCUACAACCACGACAAUUCAUCAAUUUAAAACAUAAAAAUGCAAUAGGGAUAAAUAGAUGUGUAGAGGGCACAGUAUUAGUUGCAUUGAGAUUUGAGAGGGCUCAGAUUCGCCUUUGAUAGAUCAUACAACCUGGCUCCAUCUUCUUUCACCAGAUCAACCCCCACCACUGAGGUCGAGCUCCUCUGGUUAUCACUCAGCAGAAUGACCAUCCAAGACAGAGCCGUCAAUAUUCGGUGAGAAUGAUAAGGUGCCAAAAGAGGGGAGAGUAGGUUUUUGAAGCCCACAGCUCCUCGAAUAAUCGAAGACAAGUUUAUGUCAGCCAUGUUUUAUCAUCAUCGCCUCAAAUAGAUAGACAGAUAGAUGGAUGGAUGGGUCGAUGGAUAGAUGGAUGGAUCGAUGGAUACAGGGGGUUAGAUUGUACUGAAGUUUCGGACAUGGUUCAUUUGUGCGAACCUUUACAAAAAGGUCAAAACAGUGAUUUCGGCAGCAACAUGACCAUAGUAUCCAUACAUCCAUACAUACAUGCAUCCAUACAAACAUGCAUGCAUGCCAGAAGUUGGCUGUACUAUUAACCAUGCUCUCAGGAGUUGCUCAUGUCUGGCAUCAGCCGACCAGAGUACCAGACCUCCGGCUCGGACGACGCAUCAGACAACACUGUAUGGUUCCCAGCCCACGCCACAACCGAAUCCAAGGCAAUGGAAUGGCGGUGGCUGACGGCACCAUAGCGUUAGUCCACCCGGACCAUGGGUCAGCAAGUAGGCAAUGACAGCUUGACUGAUUUGUUGUAGGAUAUAUAUAUAUAUAUAUAUAUAUAUAUAUAUAUAUAUAUAUAUAUAUAUAGAGAGAGAGAGAGAGAGAGAGAGAGAGGAGGAG